rfam:Stegodyphus mimosarum contig21866, whole genome shotgun sequence.
GCCAUUGUGGUGUAGUGAUCAGCACGCUGGACACAUAUUCGAGAGGUUCGUGGUUCGAGUCCCGGUGAGGGCA